rnacentral:tRNA from 1 species
CGGAGAUUAGCGCAGUCUGGUAGCGCACUUGAUUUGGGAUCAAGGGGUCACAGGUUCGAAUCCUGUAUCUCCGACCA